rnacentral:ncRNA from 1 species
GUUCAAAGGAGGAAAGGCAUACGGUGGUUACCUAGGCAUUGAGAGAGGAGGAAGAGCAUAGUAAUCAACGAAAUGCUUCAGGGAGUCGAAAAUUAGCAUAGAUCCAGAGAUUCCUGAAUAGGGCAACCUUUCAAACUACUGCUGAAUCCAUGGACAGGCAAGAGAGAACCAGGCAAACUGAAAGAUCUUAGUAGCCAGAGAAAAAGAAAGCAAAAGAGAUUCCCGUAGUAGCAGAGGGCAAAAUGGGAGCUGCCUAAACAGUGAAAAUGGGGUUGUGGAAGAGCAAUACAAGCAUUGUGCAGCUAGGCGAAGCAGCCCUAAUGCUGCACCCUAGAUGGCGAAAGUCCAGUAGUCGAAAGCAUCACUAGCUUAGGCUCUGACCCGAGUAGAAUGAGGCACUUAGAAUUCUGUGUGAAUCAACAAGGACCACCUUACAAGGCUAAAUACUCCUGGGUGACCGAUAGCGAAGUAGUACCGUGAGGGUAAAGAACCCCUGGGAGUGAAAUAGAAUAUGAAACCAUAAGCUCCCAAGCAGUGGGAGGAGCCAGGGUUCUGAUCGUGUGCCUGUUGAAUAAUGAGUCGGCGACUCAUAGGAAAUGGCUUGGUUAAGGGAACCCACCGGAGCCGUAGAGAAAGUGAGUCUUCAUAGGAAAAUUGUCACUGCUUAUGGACCCGAACCUGGGUGAUCUAUCCAUGACCAGGAUGAAGCUUGCGUGAAACUAAGUGGAGAUUUGACCGACUAAUAUUGAAGAAUCAGCGGGUGAGUUGUGGUUAGGGGUGAAAUGCCACUCGCACCCAGUGCUAGUUAGUUCUCCCCAAAAUGCGUUGAGGCACAACAGUUGACUAGACAUCUAGGGGUAAAUCACGGUUUUGGUGCGGGCCACGAGAGCGGUACCAAAUUGUGGCAAACUCUGAAUACUAGAUAUGACCUCAAAAUAAUAGGGGGCAAGGUCGGUUAGUGAUACGAUGGAGGAUAAGGUUCAUCGUCGAGAGGGAAAAAAAAAGAUCACUAGCUAAGGCCCCUAAAUGACCACUUAGUGAUAAAGAAGGUAGGGGUGCAGAGAUAGCCAGGAGGUUUGCCUAGAAGCAGCCACCCUUGAAAGAGUGCGUAAUAGCUUACUGAUCGAGUGCUCUUGUGCCGAAGAUGAAUGGGGCUAAGCGAUCUGUCGAAGCUGUGGAAUGUCAAAAUACAUUGGUAGGGAUAUUUGAAUUCCUUAUCCAAUCUUGUCCCCUCUUUCCAGUAUUUUCCGAAAAACAGCAAUUAGGAAUAGAGAAUAUAUAUCAAAGAAAAGUCUAACUGUUGGAAUCAUUUUUUCCAUUGCUAUUUGAUACAUUUCGGUCAU